rnacentral:tRNA from 1 species
GCCUCCGUGGCGGAACUGGCAGACGCAACGGCCUUAGGAGCCGUUAGGAGAAAUCCUGUGCAGGUUCAAAUCCUGCCGGAGGCA